AAAUUGAAGAGUUUGAUCAUGGCUCAGAUUGAACGCUGGCGGCAGGCCUAACACAUGCAAGUCGAACGGUAGCACAGAGAGCUUGCUCUCGGGUGACGAGUGGCGGACGGGUGAGUAAUGUCUGGGAAACUACCUGAUGGAGGGGGAUAACUACUGGAAACGGUGGCUAAUACCGCAUAACGUCGCAAGACCAAAGAGGGGGACCUUCGGGCCUCUUGCCAUCAGAUGUGCCCAGAUGGGAUUAGCUUGUUGGUGAGGUAACGGCUCACCAAGGCGACGAUCCCUAGCUGGUCUGAGAGGAUGACCAGCCACACUGGAACUGAGACACGGUCCAGACUCCUACGGGAGGCAGCAGUGGGGAAUAUUGCACAAUGGGCGCAAGCCUGAUGCAGCCAUGCCGCGUGUAUGAAGAAGGCCUUCGGGUUGUAAAGUACUUUCAGCGGGGAGGAAGGUGUUGUGGUUAAUAACCGCAGCAAUUGACGUUACCCGCAG
rnacentral:rRNA from 1 species